GCAGCAGGCGCGAAAACUUUGCAAUACACGAAAGUGUGACAGGGCUAUCCCGAGUGCCAUCCGCUGAGGAAGGCUUUUACCCAGUCUAGAACGCUGGGGGAAUAAGGAGAGGGCAAGUCUGGUGUCAGCCGCCGCGGUAAUACCAGCUCUCCGAGUGGUGUGGAUGUUUAUUGGGCCUAAAGCAUCCGUAGCUGGCUAAGUUAGUCCCUUGUUAAAUCCACCGAAUUAAUCGUUGGAUUGCGGGGGAUACUGCUUGGCUAGGGGACGAGAGAGGCAGACGGUAUUUCCGGGGUAGGGGUGAAAUCCUAUAAUCCCGGGAAGACCACCAGUGGCGAAGGCUGUCUGCUAGAACGCGCCCGACGGUGAGGGAUGAAAGCUGGGGGAGCGAACCGGAUUAGAUACCCGGGUAGUCCCAGCUGUAAACGAUGCAGGCUAGGUGUUUGGACGGCCACGUGCCGUUCUAGUGCCGCAGGGAAACUGUUAAGCCUGCCGCCUGGGGAGUACGAUCGCAAGAUUGAAACUUAAAGGAAUUGGCGGGGGAGCAC
rnacentral:rRNA from 1 species